UACGUAGGGUCCGAGCGUUGUCCGGAAUUACUGGGCGUAAAGAGCUCGUAGGUGGCUUGUCGCGUUGUUCGUGAAAACUCACAGCUUAACUGUGGGCGUGCGGGCGAUACGGGCAGACUUGAGUACUGCAGGGGAGACUGGAAUUCCUGGUGUAGCGGUGGAAUGCGCAGAUAUCAGGAGGAACACCGGUGGCGAAGGCGGGUCUCUGGGCAGUAACUGACGCUGAGGAGCGAAAGCGUGGGGAGCGAACAGG
rnacentral:rRNA from 1 species